rnacentral:lncRNA from 1 species
CCAUUUCUGGGCUCAGUUGUACAUCUCUGCCCUAGCUGGCUGGUCACUGGGAAGAGUACUCUAGGGCGGCCCCAACCAAGACGACCCAGUGCUGCUCCAUGUGAACUCUCAUCCUGCAGCAGACCCAUCUGGAAGGUUAUCAGAGUACAGGCAGAGGUCCAAAUGAAAGCUAGAAGAACCCGCAUGACAGCAAGCAGAAGGGAACAAGGCCUCCAGGGGCCAGGCUCAGAGUGACACACAUAUAUUCAUGCACCAUUCUGUCCUCCAAGCCUAAUUCACAGGGCCCCUGCCAUAUGAGGACACAGGAGGUAGGAACCCGGGAAGAGAGCUCUCCCAGAAGCUGACCCUGCUGGCAUCCUGAUCUUGGAAUUCCAGUCUCCAGAACUUCGAAAAAGAUUUUAAUGGGACACAUCUAGCACAGCAUUUCCCAAACUGGAUUCCUUAAAUCUCUAGUCUCCAGAGACGUUACUCAGUUUGAGCUGGGCACAUGGGCAUAUCCAACACCCGGAUGACAGAGAUGCACAUGAAAGGAACCAGGAUCCUUUUAUGACAUUGAAGGAUCAGCUGCCAGUCCUCGCUGGACUACUGAACUCAGGACUCCUGAGAACCAAAGUCGUUUGUCUUACAUUGGUCAUUGUAUCCUGGUGGUUUAGCAGAGGCUGGUACCUUAAUAAUGCAUCAUCCUUAUCCUAUAAAAAAUUUCUAUAGGAACUGGGUAUAUUUCUGGAAAUUAAUAUUUGUUCCAUUGAUUUAUCUCUUUAUUCAUGGACAUGUGACAUAUUUUUUAACUUGUGAUAGC